AAGGUUUUAAGUUAAUUAAACUAAUAAUCUUCAAAAUUAUUUAUAAAGAAACUAAUUAUUCUUUAAGCCUUA
rnacentral:tRNA from 1 species